GAAUCUUCGGAUUCUAGUGGCGGACGGGUGAGUAACGCGUAAGAAUCUAACUUCAGGACGGGGACAACAGUUGGAAACGACUGCUAAUACCCGAUGUGCCGCAAGGUGAAACCUAAUUGGCCUGAAGAAGAGCUUGCGUCUGAUUAGCUAGUUGGUGGGGUAAAGGCCUACCAAGGCGACGAUCAGUAGCUGGUCUGAGAGGAUGAGCAGCCACACUGGGACUGAGACACGGCCCAGACUCCUACGGGAGGCAGCAGUGGGGAAUUUUCCGCAAUGGGCGAAAGCCUGACGGAGCAACGCCGCGUGAGGGAGGAAGGUCUUUGGAUUGUAAACCUCUUUUCUCAAGGAAGAAGUUCUGACGGUACUUGAGGAAUCAGCCUCGGCUAACUCCGUGCCAGCAGCCGCGGUAAUACGGGGGAGGCAAGCGUUAUCCGGAAUUAUUGGGCGUAAAGCGUCCGCAGGUGGUCAGCCAAGUCUGCUGUCAAAUCAGGUUGCUUAACGACCUAAAGGCGGUGGAAACUGGCAGACUAGAGAGCAGUAGGGGUAGCAGGAAUUCCCAGUGUAGCGGUGAAAUGCGUAGAGAUUGGGAAGAACAUCGGUGGCGAAAGCGUGCUACUGGGCUGUAUCUGAC
rnacentral:rRNA from 1 species